GACUGUUGACAAUUUCAAGAUGUUUUUUUUUUUUGAUUAUAUAACUUUUUUGUUAUCUUUAGGCCAAUUUGCACAGACUACAGCUGUAUCUACCUCUUGUACUACACCUGUAUCUACCUCUUGUGCUACACCUGGGUGUUAUAACAUCAUAACCACAUCUACGGCCAACUCUAAGAUCACCUUAUUUUGUUUGGCAGUGUUCUGGAAUCAAGUUAUGGCAAUAUUUUAUGUAUAAAAU